rnacentral:rRNA from 1 species
GACGAACGCUGGCGGCGUGCCUAAUACAUGCAAGUCGAACGCAGUGGGGACGGUUGAGUAACACGUGGGUAACCUCCCAUCAGAGGGGAUAACACUUGGAAACUGGUGCUAAACCGAUACUGAUGGAUGGACUCGCGGUGCAUUAGCCAGUUGGUGAGGUAACGGCUCACCAAGGCCACGAUGCAUAGCCGACCUGAGAGGGUGAUCGGCCACACUGGGACGGAGACACGGCCCAGACUCCUACGGGAGGCAGCAGUGGGGAAGCUUGGGCAAUGGACGAAAGUCUGACAGAGCAACGCCGCGUGGGUGAAGAAGGUUUUCGGAGCGUAAAGCUCUGUUGUUAGAGAAGCGGUAUCUAACCAGAAAGCCACGGCUAACUACGUGCCAGCAGCCGCGGUAAUUC